AAAGAUCACGUGCAAAAGCUUGAAGUUGAAAAUGCCAAGUUAAAAGUUACAGUCAAAAAACAAGCGCGCAAAAUUGAACAACUUCAGGAAAACCUGUUAAGUACAAGUUCGUCUGAUGAAGAAAAGGGACAGAUAAAGAAAUUUAUUGAG